ensembl:lncRNA
AGAGGCUUAUCACUCACCACGACAGACUUGAGGGGUUCUCUGCCAUCUGAUCCUUCACUGCAAUGUGGAGACUGAUCUCUCAUCGCAACAGUGGAGACUGAUCUCUACGUGGAGACUGAUCUCUCACCGCAACACAGAGGCUGAUCUCUCGAUCUCUCGCCACGACACGAGCUUCCUGCCUUCAGAUCCUUCUCUACGGACUGUUUGCUGACGGACUUCCCUGGGCCUGCUACCUGAGACCUGCUGCUUCCUCCCCGACCUGCACCCUCUCGUUGCCCAAGACCGGCCUCGCUGCUCCUGCCCUUUGGCCUCGGACCGUCGGAACGUCGUGCAACGGGACUGCUGCCGGAUCCUGGUGGUCACAGAUGAAGAUGUUCAGCAAGACUAGACACAGCACUGACCCCUGGGGAACACCACUUGUUACAGGUCUCCAACCAGACUCUGAAGCACUGGUGACCACCCUCUGAGAUCUACCAGUCAGCCAGUUCUCAAUGUACCUCACUUUCCAUACAUCUAUACCACAUUUUUUAAGUUUCAUAACAAGGAUGUUGUGGGAGAUGCUGUCAAACGCUUUGCUGAAGUCAAGGUACACAGCAUUCACUGUUUUUCCCCCAUCUUACCCAACCAGUGAUAACAUCAUAGAAAGCUAUCAGGUUGCUCAAGCAUGAUUUCCCCUUGGUGUAUUUGUUUUGUCUACUCCUGAUGACCUUCUUUUCUUUCAAUUGCUGAACAGAAUUUUCCAAUUUUGCUGCACAAAAUCCUGUUUGUUUGUUUGUUUGUUUUUUGUUUUUUUGUUUUUUUGUUUUUCCCACAGUGCUUUUUUAAAGAAUGUAUUUGGAAAAAAACCCUCUCUCUAAGAAAGAAACAAGAGACUAAUUUCAAGAUCCAUUCUUUCUCUUAAUUUCUCUCUCUCACACGUAAAUACAUAUAUGUAUAUGUAUUAUAAGUGGAGGUAUAUAUUCAUACCUGUUUAUACAUGUCUUUGUAAGUACUGCAACUGCAAAUAUUUCUAGGAUUUAUAUAUAUAUAUAAGUAUAUACAUAUAUUUCUAGGAAGCCCUUUCUAAAACUAUAUCUACUUUAUUUAUUUACAUAAUGAAAUAACUUUCCUCUGACUGAUACAGGCACAAUGCAACCUUCCCCUUAAUUUACUUGACCUGCAAUUGUACUUUCCCUGAUCUAAGGUAGCCAAUCUAUGGUAGCUUCCUUAGCCAUGUACUUAGUGGUUUCAUUUCCUCAUAUGAUAAUCAUUUCCUCAAUUCCUAUGAAUAUUUACUCAAUAGUUCAUUAUCUUGCACAAAAACAAAAUGAUAGUACGUUUGAACACUGAAUGCUGAGACACAUAAAGUUGCAGUUCCUUUGUAAAAUGGUGGAAUUUCUAGUUCUUUUGAAAUGUUUAUUCCUAAUAUUUUCUGAAAUAGAAGAGCACAAUAAAAGAAUUAAAUUU